rnacentral:rRNA from 1 species
AACGAACGCUGGCGGCGUGGAUAAGACAUGCAAGUCGAACGGAAUUUUAUUGGUAGUAAUACUGAUAAAAUUUAGUGGCGAACGGGUGCGUAACACGUGAGUAAUCUGCCGAAAAGUGGGGGAUAGCUCGCCGAAAGGCGAAUUAAUACCGCAUGUGACUAGUGAAGACAUCUUUACGACGUCAAAGCCGAAAGGCGCUUCUUGAUGAGCUCGCGGCCUAUCAGCUAGUUGGUGAGGUAAUGGCUCACCAAGGCUAUGACGGGUAGCUGGUCUGAGAGGACGACCAGCCACACUGGAACUGAGACACGGUCCAGACACCUACGGGUGGCAGCAGUCGAGAAUUUUUCACAAUGGGGGAAACCCUGAUGGAGCGACGCCGCGUGGAGGAUGAAUGCCCUUGGGUUGUAAACUCCUGUCAUAAGGGAGAAAGACCUGACGGUAAAUAGCCGGCAGGGUUGAUAGUACCAGAAGAGGAAGGGACGGCUAACUUCGUGCCAGCAGCCGCAGUAA